rnacentral:rRNA from 1 species
CGCUAGCGACAGGCCUAACACAUGCAAGUCGAGGGGUAACAGAUAUAAAGCUUGCUUUAUAUGCUGACGACCGGCGCACGGGUGAGUAACACGUAUGCAACCUACCUUUUACAGGAGAAUAACCCAGAGAAAUUUGGACUAAUACUCCAUAAUAUUUUUGUAUCGCAUGAUAUAGAAAUUAAAGUUCCGGCGGUAAAAGAUGGGCAUGCGUCCUAUUAGUUAGUUGGUAAGGUAACGGCUUACCAAGGCUAUGAUAGGUAGGGGUUCUGAGAGGAUAAUCCCCCACAUUGGUACUGAGACACGGACCAAACUCCUACGGGAGGCAGCAGUGAGGAAUAUUGGUCAAUGGCCGCAAGGCUGAACCAGCCAUGUCGCGUGAAGGAUGACUGCCCUAUGGGUUGUAAACUUCUUUUGUAUGGGAAGAAAGGUAUCUACGUGUAGAUAUUUGCCGGUACCAUACGAAUAAGGAUCGGCUAACUCCGUGCCAGCAGCCGCGGUAAUACGGAGGAUCCAAGCGUUAUCCGGAUUUAUUGGGUUUAAAGGGUGUGUAGGUGGCUGUAUAAGUCAAUAGUGAAAUCUCGGAGCUCAACUCCGAACGUGCUA